rnacentral:rRNA from 1 species
GAUGAACGCUGGCGGCGUGCCUAAUACAUGCAAGUCGAGCGAACGGACGAGAAGCUUGCUUCUCUGAUGUUAGCGGCGGACGGGUGAGUAAAACGUGGAUAACCUACCUAUAAGACUGGGAUAACUUCGGGAAACCGGAGCUAAUACCGGAUAAUAUUUUGAACCGCAUGGUUCAAAAGUGAAAGACGGUCUUGCUGUCACUUAUAGAUGGAUCCGCGCUGCAUUAGCUAGUUGGUAAGGUAACGGCUUACCAAGGCAACGAUGCAUAGCCGACCUGAGAGGGUGAUCGGCCACACUGGAACUGAGACACGGUCCAGACUCCUACGGGAGGCAGCAGUAGGGAAUCUUCCGCAAUGGGCGAAAGCCUGACGGAGCAACGCCGCGUGGGUGAUGAAGGUCUUCGGAUCGUAAAACUCUGUUAUUAGGGAAGAACAUAUGUGUAAGUAACUGUGCACAUCUUGACGGUACCUAAUCAGAAAGCCACGGCUAACUACGUG